rfam:Oryza meridionalis cultivar OR44 (W2112) chromosome 1, whole genome shotgun sequence.
AAUAAGUGCAGUUUUACACUGGUUACGUCCAACGUUUGACCGUUCAUCUUAUUCGAAAUUUUUCUAUGAUUAGUAUUUUAUUGUUAGUAGAUGAUAAAACAUGAAUAAUACUUUAUGUGUGACUAUUUUUUUUAAUAUUUUCAUAAAUUUUUUAAAUAAAACGGACGGUCAAACGUUAGACACGGAUUCCCAUAGCUGCACUUAUU